rnacentral:rRNA from 1 species
UGGGGAAUUUUGGACAAUGGGCGAAAGCCUGAUCCAGCAAUGCCGCGUGUGUGAAGAAGGCCUUCGGGUUGUAAAGCACUUUUGUCCGGAAAGAAAUCCUUGGCUCUAAUACAGUCGGGGGAUGACGGUACCGGAAGAAUAAGCACCGGCUAACUACGUGUCAGCAGCCGCGGUAAUACGUAGGGUGCAAGCGUUAAUCGGAAUUACUGGGCGUAAAGCGUGCGCAGGCGGUUUGCUAAGACCGAUGUGAAAUCCCCGGGCUCAACCUGGGAACUGCAUUGGUGACUGGCAGGCUAGAGUAUGGCAGAGGGGGGUAGAAUUCCACGUGUAGCAGUGAAAUGCGUAGAGAUGUGGAGGAAUACCGAUGGCGAAGGCAGCCCCCUGGGCCAAUACUGACGCUCAUGCACGAAAGCGUGGGGAGCAAACAGGAUUAGAUACCCUGGUAGUCCACGCCCUAAACGAUGUCAACUAGUUGUUGGGGACUUCAUUUCCUUAGUAACGUAGCUAACGCGUGAAGUUGACCGCCUGGGGAGUAUGGUCGCAAGAUUAAAACUUAAAGGAAUUGACGGGGUCAUAGCUGUUUCCU